UUGGGUUCCUGCAGAGAAAGGACACGUAAGGGCAGGAGCCGGUGCCAGCUCACUCUGAGGGCCACCACAGCCAUCCUGAGCUGGCUUACAGUGGAAGGCAGCGAACUGGCCCGCUCAGCACACCACAGCCCAGAGCCACGGCAGGCCCUCACAAUCGAGCACAUGUGUGUGUCCCCACACGUGCACAGACCAGGGUCAGAAGCAUCAACCUGCGAGCACACAGAGCUGGGAGCAGAGCACCCACGCACACCUCCAACAGCUAUGGAGGCUGCAGGGCGCCAGGGACACUGGGAGUCCCCGCCCUCAUGGGCACACCCCGAACGGCAGGGCGCCAGGGACACUGGGAGUCCCUGCCCUCAUGGCAAAGCAGGGACAGGGACUUAAAAGUCAUCAACAGGAAAAUCGGGAAAAAAA